GAAAACUGUCUGAUGGAAUAUCCAGUCCACACUUGGGAACUGACUGCUUGAAGAACAUUCUCAUUUCCAGAUUGGAACAUGUCCUUCCAGAAUGAGAAUUCAUUCAGCCUCUCUGCCCAGUUCUGAUCUGUAAGCUUCCACCUCGAUUCCUCAGUUCCACGUAGCCCAGGUCCCACACCAGCUUUCCGGCCAUCAUACUCGCCCCUGGGGAAAAAUGAGAGAUAUCCAAAUGUGAGAAAGAACGGCAAUCACCACUAUCAACAGCUAACAUUGACGAGACUCCAGCUCUGUACCAGUAAAAAUGCUGGGUUUGAGCUAAAACUGUCACGGAAGUGGGCAGGAAAGUUGCAAAGAAAGGAUGAGAAUUAUUCACUUGGAAUCAGGCUCUCAGAAGAAUGGAAUAUUCGACUCGUCCCUCACUCC